CCCGGCACAAGCGGUGGAGCAUGUGGUUUAAUUCGAUGCAACGCGAAGAACCUUACCAGGUCUUGACAUCUGUAGAAUCCGGUUGAAAGAUCGGAGUGCCUUCGGGAGCUACAAGACAGGUGGUGCAUGGUUGUCGUCAGCUCGUGUCGUGAGAUGUUGGGUUAAGUCCCGCAACGAGCGCAACCCUUGCUAUUAGUUGCUAACAGGUAGAGCUGAGCACUCUAAUGGGACUGCCCGUGACAAGCGGGAGGAAGGUGGGAUGACGUCAAGUCCUCAUGGCCUUUAUGCUUAGGGCUACACACGUGCUACAAUGGGUGGUACAAAGAGAAGCCAACUCGCGAGAGCGCGCCAAUCUCAAAAAGCCAUCCUCAGUUCGGAUUGGAGUCUGCAACUCGACUCCAUGAAGUUGGAAUCGCUAGUAAUCGCGGAUCAGCAUGCCGCGGUGAAUACGUUCCCGGGCCUU
rnacentral:rRNA from 1 species